rnacentral:rRNA from 1 species
UUUGUAGAAUGAACCGGCGAGUUACGAUUUGUUGCAAGGUUAAGCGGAAAAAGCGGAGCCGUAGCGAAAGCGAGUCUGAAUAGGGCGCAUAAGUAACAGGUCGUAGACCCGAAACCAGGUGAUCUACCCAUGUCCAGGAUGAAGGUAAGGUAAUACUUACUGGAGGUCCGAACCCACGCACGUUGAAAAGUGCGGGGAUGAGGUGUGGGUAGCGGAGAAAUUCCAAUCGAACUUGGAGAUAGCUGGUUCUCUCCGAAAUAGCUUUAGGGCUAGCCUCGAGGUAAAGAGUCAUGGAGGUAGAGCACUGUUUGGACUAGGGGCCCUUCUCGGGUUACCGAAUUCAGAUAAACUCCGAAUGCCAUGUACUUAUACUCGGGAGUCAGACUGCGAGUGAUAAGAUCCGUAGUCGAAAGGGAAACAGCCCAGACCACCAGUUAAGGUCCCCAAAUAUAUGUUAAGUGGAAAAGGAUGUGGGGUUGCUUAGACAACCAGGAUGUUGGCUUAGAAGCAGCCACCAUUGAAAGAGUGCGUAAUAGCUCACUGGUCGAGUGACCCCGCGCCGAAAAUGUACCGGGGCUAAACAUAUUACCGAAACUGUGGAUGAACCUCUUUAGAGGUUCGUGGUAGGAGAGCGUUCUAAGGGCGGUGAAGUCAGACCGGAAGGACUGGUGGAGCGCUUAGAAGUGAGAAUGCCGGUAUGAGUAGCGAAAGAAGGGUGAGAAUCCCUUCCACCGAAUAUCUAAGGUUUCCUGAGGAAGGCUCGUCCGCUCAGGGUUAGUCGGGACCUAAGCCGAGGCCGAUAGGCGUAGGCGAUGGACAACAGGUAGAGAUUCCUGUACCAGUGCUAAUUGUUUAACCGAUGGGGUGACACAGAAGGAUAGGGAAUCGCACGAAUGGAAAUGUGCGUCCAAGCAGUGAGUGUGAGAAGUAGGCAAAUCCGCUUCUCACGAAGCAUGAGCUGUGAUGGGGAAGGAAAUUAAGUACGGAAGUUCCUGAUUUCACGCUGUCAAGAAAAGCCUCUAGGAAGAGUAGUACUGCCCGUACCGCAAACCGACACAGGUAGAUGAGGAGAGAAUCCUAAGGUGAGCGAGAGAACUCUCGUUAAGGAACUCGGCAAAAUGACCCCGUAACUUCGGGAGAAGGGGUGCUCUAUUAGGGUGCAAGCCCGAGAGAGCCGCAGUGAAUAGGCCCAGGCGACUGUUUAGCAAAAACACAGGUCUCUGCAAAACCGUAAGGUGACGUAUAGGGGCUGACGCCUGCCCGGUGCUGGAAGGUUAAGAGGAGUGCUUAGCUUCGGCGAAGGUACGAAUUGAAGCCCCAGUAAACGGCGGCCGUAACUAUAACGGUCCUAAGGUAGCGAAAUUCCUUGUCGGGUAAGUUCCGACCCGCACGAAAGGCGCAACGAUCUGGGCACUGUCUCAACGAGAGACUCGGUGAAAUUAUAGUACCUGUGAAGAUGCAGGUUACCCGCGACAGGACGGAAAGACCCCGUGGAGCUUUACUGCAACCUGAUAUGGAAUGUUUGUACCGCUUGUACAGGAUAGGUAGGAGCCGAAGAGACGUGUGCGCUAGCAUACGAGGAGGCAAUGGUGGGAUACUACCCUGGCUGUAUGACCAUUCUAACCCGCCACGCUUAGCGCGUGGGGAGACAGUGUCAGGUGGGCAGUUUGACUGGGGCGGUCGCCUCCUAAAGAGUAACGGAGGCGCCCAAAGGUUCCCUCAGAAUGGAUGGAAAUCAUUCGCAGAGUGUAAAGGCACAAGGGAGCUUGACUGCGAGACUGACAAGUCGAGCAGGGACGAAAGUCGGGCUUAGUGAUCCGGUGGUUCCGCAUGGAAGGGCCAUCGCUCAACGGAUAAAAGCUACCCCGGGGAUAACAGGCUUAUCUCCCCCAAGAGUCCACAUCGACGGGGAGGUUUGGCACCUCGAUGUCGGCUCGUCGCAUCCUGGGGCUGUAGUCGGUCCCAAGGGUUGGGCUGUUCGCCCAUUAAAGCGGCACGCGAGCUGGGUUCAGAACGUCGUGAGACAGUUCGGUCCCUAUCCGUCGCGGGCGCAGGAAAUUUGAGAGGAGCUGUCCUUAGUACGAGAGGACCGGGAUGGACACACCGCUGGUGUACCAGUUGUUCCGCCAGGAGCAUCGCUGGGUAGCUAUGUGUGGCAGGGAUAAACGCUGAAAGCAUCUAAGCGUGAAGCCCCCCUCAAGAUGAGAUUUCCCAUUUCUUCGGAAAGUAAGAUCCCUGAAAGAUGAUCAGGUAGAUAGGUUUGGAGUGGAAGUGUAGCGAUACAUGGAGCGGACAAAUACUAAUCGAUCGAGGACUUAACCAAAA